rnacentral:lncRNA from 1 species
UACUAGCGAAUUCUAGUAGGUGAGUAUUUAACAAAUUGAUAAGUUCAAAUAUUUAGCUGUGAUAAAAAGCUGAAGUAAGUUUGUGUAUUUGAAACUGAUGAUAUAAAAAAAAUUUUCUUUAGAAAGAUUAUAAUAAAAGAAGAAAAGUCAUCAAUACUUUUCUGGACAAUUCUACUCAAAUAAUAUUUUUGUAUAAACUCGACAAAAAUUGUUAAUCCAAUCUAUCGAGUAAUUUACAAAAGAAAAGGAGAGGAAAAUAAAUUACCCAUAAUUUAAUU